UAGAUGUGGAAACCAUUUGGUCAAGUUUAAGAAUUUAAAGGGUUUUUUUUUGUAUUCUAUAUGGGGUUUGAUUUUUUUUUUAAAGAUUCAUAUUAAUUAAUGUGACGCUUAUCUAGAUUAUAUACUAUUUUGAAAAAAUCAUUGUUUACGAUAAUUUUGUAUGAUAUGGAGGUAAAUAUUUAUUCUAUAUAUUAUGUAGAAAAAACUGAUGCAAGAUUCAAAAUCACUCCACAAUUUUACAAACAAUGAUCAAUAAUCAUCGAUAAAAACUGAUGAAGGUGGUAGUGAUGAUAGGCGAUCGACAUUUUCAAUCUGGUUGAGUUGAUGGACUCACUCAAGGGAAAUUGCCACAAAUACCACAUUCAUAAUACCACUUUUCAUGUUUACACUAACCACUUUUACCUUUACUUUUAAUGAAGUGUAAAAUACAAUUAUACCCUUAGGAUUAACUAAUCUAGACUUAGGGUUUAGAGUUGAG
rnacentral:lncRNA from 1 species